GUAGUCCUAGCCGUAAACGUUGGGUGCUAGGUGUGGGCGGAUAUCGACCCCGUCCGUGCCGAAGCUAACGCAUUAAGCACCCCGCCUGGGGAGUACGGCCGCAAGGCUAAAACUCAAAGGAAUUGACGGGGCCCCGCACAAGCGGCGGAGCAUGCGGCUUAAUUCGAUGCGACGCGAAGAACCUUACCUGGGUUUGACAUGCAGGGUGAAACCCGUGAAAGCGGGCGCUCUUCGGAGCCUGCACAGGUGGUGCAUGGCUGUCGUCAGCUCGUGCCGUGAGGUGUUGCCUUAAGUGGCGCAACGAGCGCAACCCCUGUCCUUAGUUGCCAGCGGAUCAUGCCGGGAACUCUAGGGAGACUGCCGGUGCCAAACCGGA
rnacentral:rRNA from 1 species